rnacentral:rRNA from 1 species
CUACGGGGGGCACCAGUGGGGAAUAUUGGACAAUGGACCAAAAGUCUGAUCCAGCAAUUCUGUGUGCACGAUGACGGUUUUCGGAUUGUAAAGUGCUUUCAACAGGGAAGAAGUUCUGACGGUACCUGUAGAAGAAGCGACGGCUAAAUACGUGCCAGCAGCCGCGGUAAUACGUAUGUCGCAAGCGUUAUCCGGAUUUAUUGGGCAUAAAGGGCAUCUAGGCGGCUUAGUAAGUCUGAUGUGAAAAUGCGGGGCUCAACUCCGUAUUGCGUUGGGACUGGCGCGCUGGAGUUUGGUAGAGGGGGGCGGAAUUCCGGGUGUAGCGGUGAAAUGCGUAGAUAUCCGGAGGAACACCAGUGGCGAAGGCGGCCCCUUGGACCAGAACUGACGCUGAGGCACGAAAGCGUGGGUAGCAAACAGGAUUAGAUACCCCUGUAGUC